rnacentral:rRNA from 1 species
GUGGGGAAUAUUGGACAAUGGGCGAAAGCCUGAUCCAGCCAUGCCGCGUGUGUGAAGAAGGUCUUCGGAUUGUAAAGCACUUUAAGUUGGGAGGAAGGGCAUUAACCUAAUAAGUUAGUGUUUUGACGUUACCGGCAGAAUAAGCACCGGCUAACUUCGUUCCAGCAGCCGCGGUAAUACGAAGGGUGCAAGCGUUAAUCGGAAUUACUGGGCGUAAAGCGCGCGUAGGUGGUUCGUUACGUUGGAUGUGAAAGCCACGGGCUCAACCUGGGAACUGCAUGUAAAACUGGCGAGCUAGAGUACGGUAGAGGGUGGUGGAAUUUCCUGUGUAGCGGUGAAAUGCGUAGAUAUAGGAAGGAACACCAGUGGCGAAGGCGACCACCUGGACUGAUACUGACACUGAGGUGCGAAAGCGUGGGGAGCAAACAGGAUUAGAAACCCGAGUAGUCC